UACGGGGGGGGCAAGCGUUGUUCGGAAUUACUGGGCGUAAAGGGCUCGUAGGUGGCCAACUAAGUCAGACGUGAAAUCCCUCGGCUUAACCGGGGAACUGCGUCUGAUACUGGAUGGCUUGAGUUUGGGAGAGGGACGCGGAAUUCCAGGUGUAGCGGUGAAAUGCGUAGAUAUCUGGAGGAACACCGGUGGCGAAGGCGGAUCUCUGGGCCAUUACUGACGCUGAGGAGCGAAAGCGUGGGGAGCGAACAGG
rnacentral:rRNA from 1 species